UAUCCCUCCACUAUUAGGUCUGUCAAGCAAAUGGGCCUUAAUUAGGGUAAUGCACUCAUACUAGGCCCAUGAUAAUCAUUACCAGCCAGGCCCAAAAAUAUUGCUACAGCCCCGUAAUCGCUGCUGCGCUAGAAGAUCGAGAAACGCCACAGGCAAAACAAAUUAGACUGCAACUCUGCAAGUCGUCGAAAUUCGAGAGAGAGAGAGAGAAGAUGAUACACAGGAAAUGGAGUCUGCUUACGGGGCCAGCAGCUAUAUUGGGAGGAAUCGUGGCCACUGUGGUUGUCGCCAAUUUCCUCUUCGUCAAAAACGAUCCGUUCCUAAAACCGUACCCUAGGAAGCAAGAUGGAGAUCCUUCAACCAAAUAGGAAAAUGCAAGAGCAAUUAUGUUCCUUGAAUACUCUAGAUUUGUUUGUGGGAUCUACGUUUUCUGGGUAUGACAUUUGCAAGUUCUAUGUUUUAAGAAGUUGUUUGGGACGUAAAUUUUCAUGAGAAUUGAAUAAGAUAUGUUUGGGUUGUUGGCAA